UACCAGCACCCCGAGUGGUCGGGACGAUUAUUGGGCCUAAAGCAUCCGUAGCCGGUUUUACAAGUCCUCCGUUAAAUCCAGCUGCUUAACAGAUGGGCUGCGGAGGAUACUAUAAGACUAGGAGGCAGGAGAGGCAAGCGGUACUCAGUGGGUAGGGGUAAAAUCCGUUGAUCCAUUAAAGACCACCAGUGGCGAAGGCGGCUUGCCAGAAUGCGCUCGACGGUGAGGGAUGAAAGCUGGGGGAGCAAACCGG
rnacentral:rRNA from 1 species